AUAGAGUUAGGAUAUGUGUGUGUACGCACGUUCUUAGGAGUUGUUACGAGUGGGUGUAUGAACAGGUUGUGAACUGAAGAAAUGUUUAAAAUGAUCCCACCAUACCUAGACAAGUGUAACAUACUUAUCAUAAGUUGAUAUCAGGUUUUAUUUUAUUGCUAUCUUGUAAAUACCCUUUGUACAUAACUAUCUUCAUGCAGUAAUAGAAAUGACGCGUAGGGAAGUUCACUGCGUUUUAUAUAUAAGAAAGAACGAUCGGUUUUGCUAGGGAUCAGAGUCGACGCGGAAGUAUAGAUAAAUAAGUUAACAACUAACAUAAGACACGAACAAUUGGUUGUUGUAAUGGUUCGUUGAUGCUACUCCCUAGGGCAGGAAGCAGGUUCGAAUCUCCUGCGCUCUUUUUUCCUUUUCCCUUUUUUUUCUAUUUUUGGUUUCUAAUUGUUUUCAAGUUUGUAUAUGUGCACUAACGUAAAAUAGAAGUAUAAGAUAAUCUGCACAUUUCGGACGAGUUGCAUUCCAAAAAUUUCAGUCCAAGUUAGAAACUUUCAUCCGCAAUUUGAAAAGUUUUACCUGCAAUUUUUUUUGAAUCGUGCAUAACUUUCACCCGCAAGAACCGGCAUAUAAUUUCACCUGCAAUUUUUCAAAUCGCGCAUAAAUUUUCACCUGCAAUUUUUAGAAUCGUGCAUAACUUUCACCCGCAAUUUAUAGAACCGGGCAUAAAAUUUCACCUGCAAUUUUUUGAAUCGCGCAUAAAGUUUCACCUGCAAUUUUUAGAAACACGCAUAAUGUUUCACCUGCAAUUUAAAAAAAAUGAUUGUUAUUAUUUUUGUUGCCUUUUUUCAUUCACCGUGACAUUGGAUGUGCUGUGCAAGUGUGCUUUCGCCAGGAUCGGUCAUUUUCAAAUUUCAAGUAUUUAGCGCUGUUUUAAAUUUUUGUCGCAUAUAAAUUGGGACUGAAUUUGUGCUAAUAUAAGGACGCAUGCUUUUUAAUGGUGAUCUCAAACUCUGGAAAACAUACACACACGGUCACACACACACAUAUGCAUGCAUGCACUGAUACGGACGUCACACACACAUGCAACCUGGCC
rnacentral:lncRNA from 1 species